rnacentral:rRNA from 1 species
UACGUAGGGGGCAAGCGUUGUCCGGAUUUAUUGGGCGUAAAGCGCGUGUAGGCGGCCAGAUAGGUCUGCUGUGAAAACUCGAGGCUCAACCUCGAGCUGUCGGCGGAAACCAUCCGGCUAGAGUCCGGAAGAGGAGAGUGGAAUUCCCGGUGUAGCGGUGAAAUGCGUAGAUAUCAGGAGGAACACCAAUGGCGAAGGCAGCUCGCUGGGACGUGACUGACGCUGAGACGCGAAAGCGUGGGUAGCGAACAGG